CAAAGAUGUUGGUGGACAUUUCAUCACGAUAGAUGUCUUAUUUUGUGUGUUUGGAUUUUGGGGGUUGUUUCAUGUGAAAUUCUCCUCUCUGCAUACAAAUAUCAUCACAUAAUGGUUAGGAAAGGGCUCAAAAAGCCAAAGAAAUAACUUGUCUGAAAAUUAUCAAGCAUUAUCUGAUUUAAAAUGCUUGAGGCUCUAAAUCCUUCAAGUGUUGUUUUGCUUGCCUGAUCCUCCGUGUCAGUUUAUUUUUAAGUUCCACAUGUUUGAUACUGAAGCUAAUAAUUUAUCGCUGUUAGGGUAACAUGUGUAAAUGAUACAU